AUACUUACCUGGACGGGGUCAAUGGGUGAUCAAAAAGACCCAUGGCCUAGGUUGGCG
rnacentral:snRNA from 14 species